CUGGGAAUUUUGCUUUUAACCCCUCUGUGUUCUUAGAUGCGUGUCUAGCCUUCAAUUGGUCAGCCUAAGUGCUAAUAUCUAACCCAAAUCACUGACUGGCUUGACACGCUUCCUUCUGAGAAAAUUCUUUUCCGUGUCAAACCACAACAGAUACCAAGCUAUUAUGGUGGAGCAAGAUGAUGUAGAGAUAGUAGUGGCUAACACUGUCAAUCCAUCCUCCUUCCUCAGUGGAAACCAAGGGGAGCCAGUGGAGCAUGACUGCCUGGGGACUAUCGAGGCCACCUAUUCCAGCCGCCCUGACUUGAAGGACACCCCUCUCAAGAAUGCAGAAAUCUGGUUCACUGAUGGAAGCAGUUAUGUCAUCAGUGGAAAACGCCACGCCGGGUACGCAGUUACUACCUGCAAGGAGGUAACAGAAUCUGGACCCCUGCCAACAAAUACCUCUGCACAAAAGGCUGAGAUAGUUGCUCUAACUCAGGCCUUGGAAUUGGCAAAAGGGAAAGAAAUGAACAUAUAUACGGACUCAAAGUAUGCAUUUGGAGUAGUGCAUGUUCACUGAGACAUUUGGAAAGAAAGAGGACUGCUGAACUCUCAAGGGAAAAACAUUAAACACACAUUAGAAAUACUGCAACUUCUAGAAGCAGUCCAGUUGCCAGAGAAGGUGGCAAUCAUGCACAUUAAGGCACAUCAGAAGAUAAACUCAGAAUUGGAAGAAGGGAAUGAGCUGGUGGAUAGGGAAGCAAAAGAAGCAGUGAAAAAUGAGGUAACAACUGAGGCUGUCCUGAUUCCAGACAGGCAAAUUUCCCUCAAAGCUUCUAGCAAUACCGUUUAUGCACAAGAGGAGGUGGGUGACCCUGUUGGAUCUGGUCUGGCGUCUAGGGAUGGUCCUGGUCCUUUUACUCUGGGGAUAUGGAUCCAGCCUUUUUCUUGGGUUCACAUCGCAGCGUGUGUGGUGAGUAACACCUGGAAAGGUCCUUCAAAUUUGGGGGUUAGUGGAGUGGUGGUGUUCCAGGAUUUUAUUAACGCCCAGUCCCCGGGACUGAUGUUGUGGGCAUUGGUAUCCAGAGGGGAGGUUUGGGGAAGAUACCCCUUCUUUCUGAGGCCUUCUAGGGUUUUUCUUAUGAUUUUAAAUAUUUUUAAGUUACUGCCUCCCUUUUUAAAUAAUCUGCAGUACUGAAAGGGGUGGUUAGAAAAGGGAGUCUGAACAUCAUUUUAUAAGGAGAAACCCCUAUGUCGGACCGAGGUCGAGGUCUGAUGCGCAAGAGAGCAAGAGGUAAACACUUGAGCUAAUUCAUUUUUUUGUCUCUUUAAUUAAUUUGGUUAUUACUUUUUUUAAGAGUUUUAUUCAUUCUUUCUACCUUUCCCGAGCUUUGAGGAUGCCAUGGGGUGUGCAAUCUCUACUUUAUCUCCAGGGCUUUUGUUACUUGAUGCAAAGUUUGAGCAACAAAAUGUUGACCUCAGUCCGAGUCAAAGUUAUUGACUAGCCUGUAUCGAGGUAUGAUUUUUUUCUAAGAUUAUUGUUGCGACUUCUUGCACAGUUUCCUUUUUGGCUGAGAAAGCCUCCACCCAGUGAGUGAGAUGAUCUACCAUCACUGGUAAAUGCUUGUACGUCUGCACAGAGGGCAUUUCAGUGAAAUCUACCUGUAUGUUCUGGAAAGGUCUUAAAGCAAGUUUUCUUCUCCCAUGUGCUUGUUUUCUCAUUACCUUUUGGUCAGUUUUCAGGCAAAUCGCACACCUUCUUGUGACUGCUUUUGCCAGGUCAUACGCUCCAAUAUAUAAAUUCUCCCGUAAAAAAAAAGUGGUUGCACAAACUUUGGAUUCCCCAGUGGGUCAAUUCAUGACUUGAACUACCUUUUAUCUCGUGGGAUAAUCUUUACCCUUCAUAGGACUUGCAAGUCUCUUCUUAAGAGAUUACUUUGGCCUUCCCUUUCAUUCCUAAAACCUCACAGACUUUCUUCCCAAUGUUGACUCUUACUGGUAACUUGUCCUGGACUUAUCUACCCUUGUGUUAACUAAGAACUCAAAAUCUUCUUAGUGAGGACUUACUUUAAAGUUUACCAAGGGCUCUUGUUGAUGGUUGAUUAUAUCUCUUUGCUUAUUGAACUCCCAACACCCCUAGUCAUCUCCCCUUGAAAUCUCUUCUAAGACUUUUUGUUCUUUUUGCAUUGCUUCAUUAAACUGAAACAUAAGACACAUCUCACGACAGUAAUAGCACCUCCUGUUGCUUUGUGAAGCUUCAGGUUUCUUAAAGUCAUUAAAGUUCUUAUUUGUUUCAUAUGAUGGUGCUGGUUGAUCUCUAUUUCUUUGGUAACAGCCCUGGUCUAUUCCAACUUGACUUAGACGGCAGUGCUGGUGACCUGCCUGCUCUUAUACUUUCUCAAGCAACUGCAACCAUAAGUCUAGCUUUAGUUUUGACUUUUUCUUCUUCUUUCUUUAAAUAUAAUCUUAGGGCUUCUAGGUGUUGGUUUAGCUGAUUAUGUAUCUACUGAUCUUGGGUUCUAUACUAUGGCCACUCUCCCUGUAAUUUUAACUUUGGCCAUACUUCAGUACUCUUGUCUAGACCCUUUGUGGUUUCCCAAGAAUCCCGUUGGUCUAACAAUUGCCCUAAGGGCCUGUUAGGAGGAAUUCUCUUUGCUUUCUCUUUUGAAGGAUCCACUCCUUUGCUUUAACUUAUUCCCAUUUCCAGGCCUCAAAAGGAAA